UCUAUCUUGCUCCAUUCCUACAUUGAGCUCCAUGAAGGUCAAUGAUCUGGAGGCACUGGAGUCACAGAGGCACUAAAGCCUGCCCACAUAAAGCUUUUUGCAUAAGGUUAAGGCUUUUCCUUUCUGGUUAUUUUUUAUGUUAUGGACACCAAUAUUAUAAAGCCUCAUUGAUCCCAUUUUUACUGGAGAAACAAGUGGAACAGGAGCCCCUUUAGCUGUCAGUUGAACAAGCAUCAAAGAAGAUAUCAUUUCUACUGUUAAUGACAGUGUAUUGAGAUCUCAGAUCAGGAUUGCAGUCUCUUUGGACCCUACCCCACAUCCCUCAAAAACCUUAUUGAAAUUGAUCUGAAUUUAAGAAGUGCACUGAUACAUUAGUCCAAUAUCAGAUUGGCACCAAUAUAAAGAAAAUUGACUAUCGGAAAUCAGCCUGAUAUAGCCCAUAAUUUAGCCAAUAAAUGCCUGUGCAUGCGCGCAGCCACAACGCAGCAUGCAGGCAGUGAGGAGCACAGGUCAUCAGCUUGGAGAACUGCUUGCCACUGGUCUCUGUUUUUACCUUUGCGAAAGGAAAUGAUGAUCCAGAAUGAAAUUCAUUCCUGUGUAGAGGACCUGCACAAAACCUAAGCAUCAUUCCAGAUUCACUUAAUCUCUGUUACAAAGUUCUUCCCAAAAUACUCUGAAAGAAAGUUUACACAAAGCUGGAAGGAUUGAUUUAUGAAGAUUAAAAGGAAAAAUGUAAAUUCACUGAAUAACAAUGAAUGGUGGCAUGAUGGUCUACAAAUAUUGGAGGACUGUAAAAUCCAAGUACAAAGAAGAUUUACACAGAGAAGAAUAUGGUAGUAUAAUUAGAACAGGGCUUAAGAAACAAAGCUGAGGAAAAUAAUUUUGAUUGACCACACAAUAAUUUUUUUCCAGCAGUGGAAUGGAGAAUGAAACAGGACAUCUUCCAACGGGAAGCAGUGUUUGCUCGUAACCACAGAUUUUUAAAACUUGACCACACAAAGCAUUUGUAUGGGCAAUGUAAGGAAAAAUCCUGUACUGGCCAGGGAUUAGACUAGAGGAUUCUCUAACCCAGAGAUUAAAAGGCUGGAAAUGAUUUUCUGUUUUAACUUCCUGUACAGCAUAGGCCCUAGACUUUUACCAAAUUACCCCUGUUGCCCAACAAACCUUUGUUCCGUUAAAAUAUGACAUCCAGAAAGGCAUCCCAAUCUUCAUCUGAAGACAUCCUGAGAUGAAGAAUCCACCAUUUCUAUUGGUACUCUGUUCCAGUGGUUAAUCACCUUAAUUGGUAAAAAAUACCAAACCCUGUGUUUUAUUUCUAAUUUGAAUGUGCUUGGCUUUGCCUUUCAUCCACUGGUAAUCCAUGGGUCUUUUUCUUCUCCAAGUAUGUCCUAUGGCUUUGGGGCCUGACCCAAAGCCCUUUGAAACCAAUGCAAAGAUCCAUGAUGACCUUAAUGGGCUUUGGAUCAGGCUCUUGUUAAGUACUCUUUUCUGUCCACACAAAUUCAUACAGCUGAUGCAUAUUAAUAGCAACAUAUCAGUGCCCUGGUGCUAUGUUGCUCCUUAAGUGGCUGUGAUUUUUAUAGGGAGUGCAGUCUGAAUACCUGGGACAGAAAAUAUUCCCAAUGCAGACAUUACAGGUAAAGGGCUGUUGCUGCCCAUGAAUGUCAACUAUAAAGGUAUUAUGGGUGAGAAAAUGUUAUAUUAGCAGAGAUGUAAAACAACUGUCCAAAAUAGACUCAGCUACCUGUACACAUGAAGGACUGCUUUGUUCCCAAUCACAGGCAACACGUAG